GAGAGGAGCGUCUGGAGCAGGGCCUGGACCAUGUCCCAGCUGGUAGAAUGUGUCCCCAACUUCUCGGAGGGGAAGAACCAGGAGGUGAUCGACGCCAUCUCCCGAGCGGUGGUGCAGACCCCGGGCUGCGUGCUGCUGGACGUGGACGCUGGCCCCUCCACCAACCGCACCGUCUACACCUUCGUGGGGCGCCCCGAGGACGUGGUGGAGGGGGCCCUCAACGCCGCCCGGGCCGCCCACCGGCUCAUCGACAUGGGCAGGCACAGAGGGGAGCACCCUCGGAUGGGCGCCCUGGACGUGUGCCCCUUCAUCCCAGUGCGGGGCGUCACCAUGGACGAAUGCGUGCUCUGUGCUCAGGCCUUUGGCCAGCGGCUGGCAGAGGAGCUGGGUGUGCCAGUGUACCUGUACGGCGAGGCAGCACGGACGGCCAGCCGCCAGUCUCUGCCGGCCAUCCGGGCCGGGGAGUACGAGGCCCUGCCUGAGAAGCUCAAGCAGGCUGAGUGGGCGCCCGACUUCGGCCCCAGCUCCUUCGUCCCCAGCUGGGGGGCCACUGUCACGGGGGCGCGGAAGUUCCUCAUCGCGUUCAACGUCAACCUGCUCAGCACCAGGGAGCAGGCGCACCGCAUCGCCCUCGACCUGCGGGAGCAGGGCCGCGGCAAGGACCGGCCAGGACGCCUGAGAAAGGUGCAGGGCAUCGGCUGGUACCUGGAUGAGAAGAACCUGGCUCAGGUGUCUAUGAACCUCCUGGACUUUGAGGUCACAGGGCUGCACACGGUCUACGAGGAGACCUGCAGAGAAGCCCAGGGGCUGAGCCUCCCGGUGGUGGGCUCGCAGCUGGUGGGCCUGGUGCCUCUAAAGGCCCUGCUGGACGUGGCCGCCUUCUACUGCGAGAAGGAGAACCUCUUCGUCCUGGAGGAGGGGCAGCGGCUCCGGCUGGUGGUGAACCGGCUGGGCCUGGACUCCCUGUCCCCCUUCAACCCCCAGGAGCGGAUCAUCGAGUACCUGGUCCCCGAGGCCGGCCCAGGGCAGAGCCUGGUCGACCAGCCCCUGCGCACCUUCGUCCGUGAGGUGGGCGCCCGCUCGGCAGCCCCAGGGGGCGGUUCCGUGGCCGCAGCCAGUGCAGCCAUGGGCGCCGCGCUCGCCUCCAUGGCCGGCCUGAUGACCUACGGGCGGCGCCAGUUCGAACACCUGGACGCGACCCUGCGGCGCCUGAUUCCCCCCUUCCACGCGGCCUGGGCUGAGCUGACGGCGAUGGUGGACGCCGACGCCCGGGCCUUCGAGGCCUACCUGAAAGCAACGAAGCUGCCCAAGAACACACCUGAGGACAAGGACAGACGCGCGGCUGCCCUGCAGGAGGGGCUGAAGCGGGCGGUGGCCGUGCCCCUGGCGCUGGCGGAGAUGGUGACGUCGCUGUGGCCGGCGCUGCAGGAGCUGGCCCUGUGCGUGAACCUGGGCUGCCGGUCGGACCUGCAGGUGGCAGUGAAGGCCCUGGAGACGGGGGUGUUUGGUGCGUAUUUCAAUGUGCUCAUCAACCUGAAGGAUGUCACCGAUGACGCGUUUAAGGACCAGGUCCGUCAGCGCAUCUCCGGCCUCCUGCAGGAAGCCAAGACGCAGGUGGCACUGGUGCUGGACCAGCUGGAGGCCCGGCAGGAGUGACGGCCGGGCGGGGGACCUCACUGGACUCCGCUUCCCCCUGAGGCCACUCCAGACACAUCCCAUGGGGCCCAGAGAGGGGAGUGUGUGGGGGGCAGUUGUGUCUGGGGUUCGUGGUGUCACCUUCCAUCACCUGGAGCCUCCAGUAAAACAGGCUGUGCACACGGAAAAACAAAAAGUAUGAACGUACUUGCUAGGGUCCACGGGUUUGAGCCCUGGUCCGGGAAGAUCCCACAUGCCGCAGAGCAACUAAGCCCGUGCGCCACAACUACUGAGCCUGUGCGCCAGAGCCCGCGAGCCACAGCUACUGAGCCUGCGUGCCCCAACUACUGAAGCCCGUGCGCCUAGAGACCGUGCUCUGCAACAAGAGAAGCCACUGCAAUGAGAAGCCCACGCAGCGCAACAAAGAGUAGCCCCCACUCGCCGCAACUAGAGAAAGCCUGCGCGCAGCAAUGAGACCCAACACAGCCAAAAAUAAAUAAAUAAAAUAAAUUUAUUUAAAAAACCCCCAAAA